CAUAACAAAUAUUCUUUUCUUUCUACAGUUAUUUGUUAAAUCUAGGCAAAUCAAUAGAUUUCUCUACAUCAAGCCAUUAGUUCCACCUUUUCUUUAAAUACAUCAAUCAAGAACUAAAACUAAGUAACAAGUAAAAGCAAGAGUCAUCCCUUCAACUCCUAGGUCACAGAGUGAUCCCUUCAAAGGUGACAGGGAAAGAACACGGACGUGAAAAAUCAUGAAUUACCAGUACUGUUUACACACCACGAAGUUUUACACAGGGGGCAGUAGGUUUAGUAUGAGAAGCACUGCAACUCUGAAAUAGCACUUUCCAGUUCUCACCCUGAAAAAGUUCAAAUAGUGCUAACCAGUAUUACACAACUUAUACAAAAUUAGCCAAAGCAGAUAUCACUAUUAUUUGUAACAAUUCCCUCCCGACACCACUGUAACACAAAACAAAACAAAACAAA